AUGCAGGUCGCAACCCACCUCGAUGAGUUUGCGGAUGGUGACAGAGCGGAGGACCUUUGUUUAUCUUGUCAUUUAUUUAUUAUGUUGUAGAUUCUCUCACUUUUGUUAUUAUACUCUGUUGCCUUAGAGGCUUACUUGAGAGAUAAGUUGUAUAAGCUGUUUUAACUCAAAAAUUUUGUAUUUUCAGUUUGUAACUAGUCGGCCUAAACUCCGCGGGCUACGACUAGAAUUUUUUUGUUUAUCAUACUUAUAUAUAUCUAUCUUGACUAUUAGUAUAUUAAGUCUCAUGUUGUAUCUUGUUCCUAUAUGUUUUUAGUUAUCGUGUGUGAACGCUUCGCGCUUUGUAAUUCCGCUUUAUGCGAUUUUGAACUUUAUU
rnacentral:lncRNA from 1 species